UGGGAUACAAACCGGAGGAGCGAGGCAUGGAGGGAGGAGGCAGAGACAGUGGGUGAAACUGUUCGACCCUUGGGACAUUUGGAUUCAUCCUCUGAGGACCAUGAGUGUGUACACAACUUGUCAUGUUAAUCCAUGAAACGGUUCAGGCUGAGUCGAGCCAUGCUGUGUGGAUGUGCCCUGAGCUGAGAACACCACUCUGUGAGCCAGGCACCCAAGGAGGAUGUUCUCAAGUGGAGAAAUCUAAUCUUUCCCAGCAGGAAUCCAAGCGGCUCUCUCACCCAUGACCUCGUGCUUUUAGUACUGACAUGCUGCCCGUUUGUAACUCAGUGGUAUGGAAGGGCUGGAGAUCGAACCACCAAUGCUUCUAUCCAACGUUGAGCAAUCUACCACCUAAACCAUAGCCAACAGAGAACAGGAUGCCAGUGGUCACUAAUUCCAUUUGACACACACACACACACACACACACACACACACACACACACACACACAUGCAAAUACACACGCAAACACACACGCAAACACAUGCCAAAAGCAUUUACCAACACAAGCAUCUCAAAGAGAAGUAUCUCCAUCAAAAACAGCCCUCUCUCCAUCUGUUAAACAAAUAGGGAGCCUCUACAAAGGUGUGCAAAAGAAUCCACAUGAUCAAAGUGUAUGAGAAUGGCAGCCUUGUCCUGGCCUGGCCAUUAUCAGGCCCCAUGAAUGCCUGUCUUCUCCUCUUUUGUCGGUCGAGGCAUUGACAGUCACUCACCCGGCAAUGACUGUCACACCAGCGCAAAGAGCCAGCCGCCGACAGGGGCCAACCACAUCAAACGAGGCUGUCAAGGGGCCCUGCUCGUGAACCGUGGCAACAAACACCUCCUGAUCCUCACCUACAGCUCAGCAGCAGACACCCACCGCUGUGCUCUCAGCCACUGCCUCCACUGAGAAAAGAUGUACUGCCUGGACCUAAUUUCCCUCUCUGUUGCCCCCCCCCCCCCCCCGCCCCCCAAUUCUCUCUCACUGUCAAGUAGUGCUUGUGUUAACCUCCAGCCUGCCGAGACACAAAGGCCCGCUAAAGUGUUUAAGAAUGCUUUAUGGAUGCAUGACAAGGGGAGGCUGACACUGCUGGGGGUCAGAAAGUACACAGGAUGUGAAUGAGAUACAUUCAGUUUUACUUACGAUUUGGAGCUGAGUCACACUUGAUUGAACUGUAUGAUGUUUGAAAUUCAAAAGCUGAUUGGAAGAAGAAUAUAUUUUUUUUAAGUAACUAAAAUGUAGCCUACUUUGGUCAAGUCAUUAUAAGGGCAGGUUGCAUGUGUAUACUACCAGUUUUGGAUUACCUAAUGGAAAUGAAGUUUACUUAACUUGUGUUGCUUUCCCCUUAAUUAAUGAGAAGUUUACAUAGAUUGCCGCAAAACAGCUCUGUGAAAACAUACUAUACACAAACACAAAGAUUGUUGUGGUUUUCUCAAGUGUCAAU